rnacentral:rRNA from 1 species
CGUGUAGGCGGUUUGCAAGUCAGAUGUGAAAUUCCCAGGCUUAACCUGGGCGCUGCAUCUGAAACUGCAAGACUUGAGUACUGGAGAGGAUAGUGGAAUUCCUAGUGUAGCGGUAAAAUGCGCAGAUAUUAGGAGGAACACCGGUGGCGAAGGCGACUAUCUGGACAGUAACUGACGCUGAGGCGCGAAAGCGUGGGAGCAAACA